rnacentral:rRNA from 1 species
AUUGAACGCUGGCGGCAGGCCUAACACAUGCAAGUCGAGCGAGCGGCGGCCGGGUGAGUAAUGUCUGGGACACUGCCUGAUGGAGGGGGAUAACUACUGGAAACGGUAGCUAAUACCGCAUACCAUCAGAUGUGCCCAGAUGGGAUUAGCUAGUAGGUGGGGUAACGGCUCACCUAGGCGACGAUCCCUAGCUGGUCUGAGAGGAUGACCAGCCACACUGGAACUGAUACACGGUCCAGAGGCCUAGGGGAGGCAGCAGUGGGGAAUAUUGCACAAUGGGCGCAAGCCUGAGGCAGCCAUGCCGCGUGUAUGAAGAAGGCCUUAGGGUUGUAAAGUACUUUCAGCGGGGAGGCGUUACCCGCAGAAGAAGCACCGGCUAACGCCGUGCCAGCAGCCGCGGUAAUAC